UAGGUAUAAUAUUGUCUGUAACUGCAUAUCAGAAGAUGAGUUCAGCCCUUUCUUCCAGACCUGCCUCUACUCUACAGAUGCAGCCUAAAGCUGGCCAUACACCUUAAGAUUAUCUGGCAAUCAACCAACUAACCAACCAACCAACCAACCAACCAACCAACCAACCAACCAACCAACCAACCAACCAACUCACUGGUUGGAUUGAAAAUAUGACCCUCAUCGUGGAACAUCUUAAAGGGGAACCCCGCCUCCCCAUGCUGGAAGUCAGGGUUGCCCAGAAACCGUAGAAACAAUGAGUUGUGUCUCCCUAAGUUUCCGGAUCUUCUCAAGGAGUGCCAAAGGCGAUAAACCGACCAUAGAAGGGGAUUAUCUUGUAGAUCCUGAUCGCAGUCCGCCUCCAGACAGUGGAGGAAGUUUGUCAAGUUUUUAGAUUUUAGGAAUUGUGUCUCAAGCUGUGUAUUUGCAUACGUGUCUGUGUCGUUUAACCAAUCUCUCAAAAACCUCAAUAAAGAUGCGUAGUUAUAAAUCAAAA